GGUAGUAGCUCAGUUGGUAGAGCACUAGCUUCCCAAGCUGGGGGUCGCGGGUUCGAGCCCCGUCUAC
rnacentral:tRNA from 1 species